UACGUAGGGGGCAAGCGUUGUCCGGAUUUAUUGGGCGUAAAGAGCGUGUAGGCGGCCUGAAAGGUCAGCUGUGAAAACUCGAGGCUCAACCUCGAGACGUCGGUUGAAACCAUCUGGCUAGAGUCCGGAAGAGGAGAGUGGAAUUCCCGGUGUAGCGGUGAAAUGCGCAGAUAUCGGGAAGAACACCCGUGGCGAAGGCGGCUCUCUGGGACGGUACUGACGCUGAGACGCGAAAGCGUGGGGAGCAAACAGG
rnacentral:rRNA from 1 species